UCUUCUUUUCUUAAACGCUUAAUGUUUAUUUUUGGGUCAACAAGGCCCCAUGGUAAGCUAAGGUAAGCUAGCUAAAGCUACCAUGUGGCUUCAUUCAUUCAUCCUUUAUUCUUCAAAAAACUUAGUUUUAACCUGACGCUUUAAGGCGAGUGACAUUGUCCAGUGAAGAGGAUGGCGACAAGUGGUACGGCAGCCCCAUCAGGCCUACAUCUCCAUCCACCCUCAGGUCUUCACCUCCACCGCCUCCAUCCACCCUCAGAUCUAUGCAAACUCCUCCACCGUUUCCAUCUACUAGGCCUACACCUCCACCACGUCAGGGUAACUAUAGAUGGCCCAAUGUUUGAACCUGUCACCACGUACCCCUUGAACACAAAUCAGGAACAGCAUGUUUGUUCGCAUCUUAACACUCCUUGAGGAGAUAAAAGACACCCAAAAAAUCCAACGGAGGAUGCUACAAAUGUUGUAACCAGCGUGGCAACAUCAGCACUACCGUCUCUUCUACCCCAGAGGUUUUCCCCAUAAAGACAGUUUGUGAUGUGGAAAUCAUGGAAGAAAAACUGGCAAACCCAAACUUCAUGUCCGAACUGGUUGCAGCUGUGGCUGACGGGGGGAACAACUGUUGAUGAGGCCACAAGAAGGAUGAUGACCUUCCUCCUACACCACCGGCCUAUGCAGGCAUUACAACUUAGUGGGCU